AGGCGCCUAAGGUAGGGACUCAGUAUAUGCGCGCUUCAGGUUUCAGUUUUUCGGGUUACAGGCCUGUUUCGGUUUUGGUUUUUGGGUUGGCACGGUAUGCACUGUGGCUGGCAGACGUGCCUGGAAGCCCCAGGCUACCACCUUGGAGGACCGGGAGACUGAGGACGCUCAGCGAAACUCCCAUCAGAAAUUCCCCUAGGCGGGAGUUUGGUGCCAACAGCGGUUACAUUUUAGGUUUCAGUUUUUUUUGGGGGAAUUGCUUUUCUGUCUGUAACAUGGGUCAAACUGUGUCCACGCUGCUAUCUCUUACUUUGGCUCACUGGCCUGAUGUGUGGGCUAGGGGAUCUAAUCUCUCUCUUCUGAUUAAGAAGGUAAAGCAGCAGUCUUUCUGUGCCUCUGAAUGGCCUACUCUUGGAGUGGAUUGCCCCCCCCCCCCCCCGGAGGGCUUAUUCCAUUUACCACUCAUUUGCUGAGUGAAAGAGGCCAUUCUCCUGCCUGGCCGUCAUGGGCACCUGGACCGGGAUUUUGAGAAGACAUCGGAGACUAAAAGCUGUUGAACUCCAAAUGGUCAUCAGGCAAGACUUCCAGCCCAUUCCACUGGACGACUUGAGCAGCCCUCUGGACCGAGCAACACAGUCUUUCCAAGGCCACUGUUGCACACCAUAAGACAGGUAGCAAGAGGAAAUACCCAAAUCCCCCUCGACGCCCACAUGCCAGCUUCGAAGAAGUUACAGAAAACGGAACUCCAUCCAUAAUCCCAAAGAAGAAUUUUGGGUAUUACCUCUUGAGGGAAAAAUAUUAGGCAGAAAGUCAGUUAUGAGCUUAUGUGUGUGUGACAUAAAGGCCUAAUGUGUCCAGCAUAUGCAUCUACAUCUCAGUCAUCUUGACAAUGUUUCACGGGCAGCCUGGCCUUUGCAUCCUGCCCUGCCCCCUUCUACCUGAUAACCUUCCAGGUGGAGAUGCCCGCCCCUUCUGCCUGACAAAUCUUCCACAAUCUCCCAGAUGCAGCCCAGUAUCUGCAUUUCAGUAUUACAGAACAGGCGGGGGGUUAAAUCUCAUUUUCAUGGGGGUGGGUUAUGCGCGGCCCUAAAGAAAAAAUGUUGUUUUUAUGCCGACUGAACCGGGGUGGUUAGAAACUCCAUGGCCAAACUCAAAAAAUGACUGGAAAAAUGCAACGGGAAAGGAAAACUCAACAGGGAUGGUUUGAGUCAUGGUUCGGCCGGUCCCCAUGGCUUACUACUCUACUGUCAGCCCUAACAGGACCCUUAAUUGUUCUACUCCUAAUUGUAACCAUAGGACCUUGUGUGUUAAAUAGACUCAUCACCUUCAUGUGGGAACAAGUUAAAAAUGUUAAACUCAUGGUUGUAAGACAACAAUAUGUCACAUUAAAAGAGACAAAAACGAAUAAUCUCUAAGAUUAGAGAUCCUCACAACAAGGAGUGGGGAAUGAAGAGUUAAAAUUGUAUAUGUGUGGGUGUCAAGAGUUAAGCUUAAGCUUACAGGUUUAAAAACCUUCCUGGUGCAGCUGUGAAAAUAAGACAGAGUAAAGUAGCACCUUGACAGUAGGGACUCCAUUUUGGAGCACUUGAGACUGCAUUCUGGGAAAGCAACCCCCCCACCGUGAGACUCUGGUCUGAAACUAUGAUCUCAAAUAGUCGGACAAUAGCAGUACACUACAUCACCCUUGGCAAUGCACAAAAACCCCCUAGCAUGAUUGCUCAAGCUUAAAAGUAAAAAGGUUACACCUGGGUUACCUGGGCUAAUAAUAAAGAUGUGAUUUGUCUAUGUCUUAAGAUCAUAAUUGCUGAUUGUAAGACUUUAGCAACCGCUUAACAACCGUGUAUUCUCUUCCCCUUCCCGGUUUUGCGGUUUUUGCCUUUAUAAACCCUAACCUUUGGUUAUUCGGGGCUGCUCUGCUCAUGAUGAUCAGACAGCCCCAGCAUGCUGGAUAAUCAAUAAAGCUUCCCCUUGCUGUUUGCAUAA